UACGGAGGGUGCAAGCGUUGUUCGGAAUUACUGGGCGUAAAGCGCACGUAGGCGGCUUUGCAAGUUAGAGGUGAAAGCCCAGGGCUCAACCCUGGAAUUGCCUUUAAAACUGCAUCGCUAGAAUUGUGGAGAGGUAAGUGGAAUUCCGAGUGUAGAGGUGAAAUUCGUAGAUAUUCGGAAGAACACCAGUGGCGAAGGCGACUUACUGGACACAUAUUGACGCUGAGGUGCGAAAGCGUGGGGAGCAAACAGG
rnacentral:rRNA from 1 species